rnacentral:rRNA from 1 species
GACGGGACCCGCACAAGCGGUGGAUGAUGUGGUUUAAUUCGAUGCAACGCGAAAACCUUACCCACCUUUGACAUGGCAGGAAUCCCGAAGAGAUUGGGAGUGCUCGAAAGAGAACCUGCACACAGGUGCUGCAUGGCUGUCGUCAGCUCGUGUCGUGAGAUGUUGGGUUAAGUCCCGCAACGAGCGCAACCCUUGCCAUUAGUUGCUACGAAAGGGCACUCUAAUGGGACUGCCGGUGACAAACCGGAGGAAGGUGGGGAUGACGUCAAGUCCUCAUGGCCCUUAUAGGUGGGGCUACACACGUCAUACAAUGGCCGGUACAGAGGGUAGCCAACCCGCGAGGGGGAGCCAAUCCCACAAAGCCGGUCGUAGUCCGGAUCGCAGUCUGCAACUCGACUGCGUGAAGUCGGAAUCGCUAGUAAUCGCGGAUCAGCAUGUCGCGGUGAAUACGUUCCCGGGUCUU